CAAUCAUGAGCGUCACUCGGCAGCCGGGAGGGGCGGGAUGGAACCCGCGUUCGGGCGGGCUGCCGGGGUGAGUGUGAGUGUGAGAGUGAGAACAGCCCGGCAGGUCCCGAGGCGCUGGCUGGGGACUCUGCCGCGGAAAGUUCCCAGUCCCCAGCCGCAGGACGGCCCCUCGCGGCUUCCUGGUAAUGAAUGACCCGAGGGUAACACCAACACAACCUUCGAGAAAAGGCGGACCAUUUCCCCAAGCCCGAGAUCUGCAGGACUGAAAUGAAAUAUUUUGAGCUCUUCUAGCUGACUCAUCAGAAUCCUGGAGCAUUUUUUAAAAUGACGAGUGAAUAGACUAUAAGCAGCCAUCUCUUUCUCAUGCAGACCAGCCUGAAAUGGAAAUUGUAGGUUUUAAUGAUUGAAAAUGGAAAUUGAUAGAACACACGUGCCCAAGAGAAAUGCAUCUCCACUUCCUCCAGUCCUGAAAGAUAGGAUGUUGAUCAGCGGUCCCAGAAGCAUUGGCUUGAUUUCUCAGAGUUUGUUAAAAGCUAGGGGAAAAAAAAAAAAAAAGUGUAAUCACUCUAUACAGUGCAAAUAUCUGUGUUUAUUUUGUAUAUAUUUCUGGUCUUUAAAAGGGAAAUUCUGUUUCAACUAUCAUUUGAUACUAACUUCUUCAAUGUUGCUCAGAAAAGAUUGUUUUAAUUUGAAAUUUCAAAGUUAAACAAAUUUAUUUGACCAUCUUGUGCCGGCAGAAAAUGGAAAGAAACAACUUUAAAAUGCUCUUAAAUGCAGAAAGAAAUAAUCAAAGGAAGAUGAUUUGGAAUCUUAUAUACCUACUGUAAGUAAAAUAUGUAUUAUUAUUUUGAUAAUAAGUACUGACAGAGGAACAAUAUUGUGUUUCUUUUAGAAGAGUACUUGGUAAUUCAGGGUAUGUGUAUUGGAUGCCCUACAGGGUAGGUUCUAUAAGUGACUCAUUUCUAAAGGCACCCAACUAUGGCAGACAAUGAUACAGUAAAUUAUGAAGAACAUAAACUUGAGAAUUAAGCCAAAUUGUGCUCAAAUCCCUGCUUCUCAAAAUAUGUGAACUUGGGCACACUACUUAACUUCUUUGAAACUCUGUCAAAGUGUGUCAAACAUGCUGAACAUCUGUUAAAAUAUGAUGAUAUAUUGACCUUGUGGAGUCAUUGUGAGGCUUACCUGAAAUGUUAUAUGUAAAAUUCUUGGCCUGUAGUAGACUCUCAGUCAGUGUUAAAUAUUUUGAUAGCCAGAUGUUUUGAAUGAGGUAUCCUGAAAUAAGAUAAUUAUGGAGAAUAAUUGGCAUUGAUUUUCCUAGUGGUUUUAUUUCCUUCAUGAAACACAACCUAAAGAAUUUACUUUGAGGUGCAAAAACAGUUUAACAUUGCUCCUAUUUUACGGAAAUUAUAAUAUAAUUUUGAAGACUGGAUGCAAAUAAUGAAUGAAGAAGACUAAACUAACAAAAUUUUAAUUAGGCAUCAAGACAUAAAAAUCAAUAAUGACCUUAAUUUCAUAAUCAUGUUUUAUAUUGAAACUUUUAUUUACUUUUUUCCAAAUAAGUUUACAUUUUCUAUAAGCUUUAAUUUAUAUGAUAAUACUAAUAUGUAGAUCGAUUUUUAAAAUCAUCUUGAUAAGAACAUGGCUCUUUCGUUGCAAAAAUAUUUUUCUUCUAUAUUUGUCGCAAUUUUAGGAUUAAAGUACUCUUACUUGAUAGAUUUGCUUAUCUUUCUUCCAGUUCCUUGAUGUAAAGCCUUAAUACCUUCUACUCUAUCCAUGCCGUUGAGUACUAAAAUUCUCAAAAUUAAAAACAAAUUAGUGAAAAUCAGUGACUGAAAAUAGAAUGAGUUUAUUAGAAUGACCAAUUCUGAGUGUCAAGCCUCAAUUGUAUUUGACUUUCUCUUUAGCAUUCUCCUCCUUGCAAUUUCUCUGCCUAGUUUUGCUGUUAGUAUUCUCUUCAGUAGCUUCUUAUAAAUUUAGAAGCAAAAGCAUGCACUGGUGCUGUUAUGAUAGGAGCACAGCCAUAGGAAUACUGAAAUAAUAGGGAAAAAAAAUGUAGGGGGAGCCUGGGUGGCUCAGUCGGUUAAACAUCUGGCUUGGGCUCAGGUCAUGAU